CAAUUCCAUAGACCUAUAUAGUAGGGACACGACAUAUUGUUCUAUACGUACAAUUGCUUAUAUAAAUAGCACCCAUUUUGAAGGCACACACAUAAACAUAUAUCUAUCUCGUUCUUACUCAGCACUUUAACUCGCAAGAAAACAAUAUAACAGUAUUUCAGUGCGUACAUAAAAUGAAAUAUGAAUAUACGUAAAUGUCUCCGUCUCCGUCUAAUGAGGCCGAAAAUCCGCCAUGUUUUGCGCGCCAAAUGUCAUUGUCACGUCAGUUCGGCCGUCUGUUUUGGGUUGUACAUUAUUUAUUGACUUUCAUAUCGAUUUAAUAUGAUUGCCUAUAUAAAAUUUCUAAUUUUAUUAUGCUUAAAACGUACAAAAAUAAUAAUUAAAACAUAUUUUAUAGGAUCUCAAGAAGGUCGAUGCCCAAAAACUAUUAUCUAUAUAUAUUUAAAUUCAUUAUGGAGCCCUCAUCCGAAACAUGGAUUAUACACUUAAUAAUAUAUUUGAAUCCGAAAUAUCGGACACCAUUUUUCGGUCGGAAUCUAUUCAUCAUGACACUAAUCAUAAAUACCUCUUUAAAAUAUUAUGUCAUCAAAACAUAUUUAGACAUUCUGUUUAGAUAUUUCGGGAAAAAGGCUACCGACAAAAUCUCUUCGGAACUAUUUAAAUAAAAUAGUUUUAUUCCGCAGUGAGUAAAACACUAUUGUAAAUUCGUUAAAUAUUUAUUAAUUAAGUGAUUUUAGAGAGGAAGUCACAAGGAAUGACGUUUGUAAUUUCAUUAACGAAUAAAUGUUCUGUAGGUGUUUUUUUUUAUCAGGUGAUCCCUUGAUAAGUUUAAAAUUGUGCGGUGCACCUUCCUUGAGGUGCACUGCGGUAGUCUGUUACGGACUUUAGAGUCAGCAAAACAAUUAAAAUAGAUUGUAAUAGUCUAAGAAAAACACGUACUCAAAAUACGAUAACAUUCAGCAUGCUAGAAAUGGGCUGAUGGCACUGUACUAUGCCAUAUCUUUAUGUUUUGCGGCAAACGACAACUUUAUAAAAUCAGUGUAGCAAAUUUUAAAAAUCGUCAUAUCGUUUACUUGGAAAAUUUGAAGCACGAACUCGUCUUAGAUUUCACAUAAUAUCUAAAUCACAUCAUCUUUGCACAUAACAAUAUACUUAAUUCCUAUUAAAGUAUAAAUUCUACAAAUACAUUCAUACUCAACAAUAUUUAAAAUAAAAUAAGCCAAGAACGUUUAUCGAUAAAACCUACUAACAUUAAAAUCUUCUGGGCAGCACUAAAGCCGCCAUGUUUUGUGGCCAGAUGACGUCACAGUGGCACGAAUUUUUUGUUGACGUUUCAUUUCCAUAGGUUUCCUACUUCAGUGGUCAAUUCCCAACAGACGUUUUUUUCUUUGUUUUAUUUUUAUAAAGUGCUCAGAAUUUUGUUUGAUCUAAAAAUAUAAACAUACCAUUAAGAGGUUGUGUUAUGAGAAAAAGAAAUGAAUCAUUUACCUGUAAACAGUGAUACAUCAAUCCAAUUAUAGACAUAAAAUGUUAAUAAUUAUGGUUUAUUUGUGGCAUAUUUUUUCACAUUUAAGGAACAACUAUGUUAUCCAAAACCUUCUAACACAUUGAAAAAACACAGUUAAAAAGUCAAAUUUAAUCUAAUUCCAUUAUUUGAAAUAUUAACGUAAAAUUAAAGAAUUCAAUUACGACGAAACUUUAUUUACGUGAUCGUAUAUCUGUACGUCUCCGGUUUUAGUCUCCGAUUUUAUCCCUCGAAAAUUCACGUGGUAAAGGAAUGAUCAAAAUAAUUCUCCACGGGUCUUUAAAAAGAUUUGGAGCUUCAUAAUAUUGUAGUAUUCACAAUUAAAGUAAUUUAAUUUAAAGUUUAAAUGGAAGACUAUAAGUUGUGAGUGGAAUUUUGAUAUUAAAUAUUUGAUGUUAAAAUAAAUAAAUAGUUCAUAAAUAGUUAA